AGUGGCAUGAUCUCAGCUCACUGUAGCAUUGACCUCCCAGGCUGAGGCGAUUCUCCUGCCUCAGCCUCCCGAGCAGCUGGGAUCACAGGUGUGCACUACCACACCUGGCUAAUUGUUAACUUUUUUUUUGAGAUGGGGUCUUGCUAUGUUGCCCAGUCUGGCAACAUGGGAUCCUCCAACUCCUGGCUUUGAGGGAUCCUCCCACUUCGGCCUCCCAAAGCCCUGAAAAUUACAGACGUGAGACACCAUGCCCAGCCUAUAUUGUUGCAUAUUUCUUCCAUUGUGUUUUGUGGUCGCUGGAGGUCUGUUUCUUCUUGGAUUCCCUGCACAGUGUUCCACAGCUGCUCCACGUAAUCUGCCCAAGACUUCGGCUGCAUUCAGUUGAACACACAGGAGGAAACUUCACUCCCCAGCCGACCACACAAAGAUCCGUUCUCAUCCCCAGGGCAGCUGCUCUGGCCACUCCACCCGCGCCCUGGAUGGCUCCAGUUGCUGUGAGCGCGACCACCCGCCGCGUGAUUAAGAGCGCUCCGGGCCGGGCAGUCUCCCGUGGGAGUGGGGGCGUGGGCCUGAGAACCGGGAGGACGCUGGAGAAAAGCUGCCCUGUGAAUCUUUCUUUGGCUGUCCAGGCUCCCCUUGACUCCAAAUGUUCCGUUGAAAACAGAUGCACAGAUGAUAGUGUGGAACAAAGUGGAACAAAGAAAGAAGAUCUGGAUGACAAAGAGAAAAGUGAUGAAGAAGAAAUUCCUGCACCUGUGCACAGCGCAAGUCAAUUCUGCACAGCGGGUUAUGGGGCGACCAGAGAAUCUUGUGCGUUUUGACACUUAGGAAAGCUUAAUCUGACGCUCCUUAUCUAAAUAACUUGGAUGGAUUAUUAGUAUUUUUGGUAACAAUUUUUUUGUUUUGUUUUUUUUGAGGCAGAGUCUAACUCUGUCGCCCAGGCUGGAGUGCAGUGGCGCAAUCUCGGCUCACUGCAAGCUCUGCCUCUCGGGUUCAUGCAAUUCUCCUGCCUCAGCCUCCCGAGUAGCUGGGACUACAGGCACCUGCCACCACACCCGGCUAAUUUUUUGUAUUUUUAGUAGAGACGGAGUUUCACUGUGGUAGCCAGGAUGGUCUGAGUCUCUUGACCUUGUGAGCCACCACACCUGGCCCAGUAUACAUCUGUAACUUGUGACUGUCCACUUUCUU
rnacentral:lncRNA from 1 species